ensembl:lncRNA
AACAGAGAUGAUCCUCUCCCCCCACCCUCCCCGAUAAUGGGGAGUGGACAGAGUUAACCUGAGCCUUCAUCUCCACACAGGUUGAGGCUGGAGACAAUCCAACCCCUCCAUCACGGAGGAGUUGGAACGGUGGAUGCGGAGGCCUCAACUCCUCCGCUCCACCUACCUUACUAUACCUUAACAUACUAUACCUUAACCUACUCUACCUUAACCUACUGUACCUUAUCCUACACUACCUUACCCUACUCUACCCCAGAACUACACCAAAUUUAUCUCCUGUCCCCCUUCCCACACCACAUAAGGGGAAGAGGACAGAUAUGACUUUCCUCUCUUAUAUUAAUUAAUUAUAUAUAUAUAUAUAAUAAUAUAUAUCAUUAAUAAUUAUUAUAUAUCAUUAAGAUAAUAAUUAUAUAUCAUUAAGUUAAUGAGGAUAUCCUCAAAAUUUGGAAAUUAUCCACAUAGACAUCAGUUCCUCCAGGCCUCAACAAGGUGAGCACAAACAGAGAUGAUCCUCUCCCCCCAGAGUUAACCUGAGCCUUCAUCUCCACACAGGUUGAGGCUGGAGACAAUCCAACCCCUCCAUCACGGAGGAGUUGGAACGGUGGAUGCGGAGACCUCAACUCCUCCGCUCCACCAAUCCUACUCUACCUUACCCUACUCUAACUUAACCUACUCUACAUUAUCCUACUCUACGUUAUCCUACUCUACGUUGUCCUACUCUACUCCAGAACCCCGCCAAAUUUAUGUCAGACUUAUCCUGUCCCCCUCCCCACCCCACAUAAGGGGAGGAGGACAGAUGGGAUUUUCCUCUCGUAUAUACACAGUAAAUGAGGAUAUUCUCCUCAAAUCUCUAAACCGUCCACAUAGACCUCAAACUUCCUCCAGCCAUCUCCAACAACACAAACCUGAUCCUAGCCGAAGACCUGCAGCAACGAUGGGUGCGGAGGCCCCGCCACAAACUCCGCUCCAGGCAAACCUCCAGGCCUCAACAAGGUUGAGGCUGGAGACAAUCCAACCCCUCCAUCACGGAGGAGUUGGAACAACGGCGGCGGCCUCAACUACUCUGCUCCACCUACCCUUACCCUACCUUACCUUACCCCAGACCCCACUAAGUUUUUCCCCUGUCCCCCUCCCCACCCUACGUAAGGGGAGGAGGACAGAUCUGACUUUCCUUUCUUAUGUACGUAGUAUAGUAUAGAAAUAUAGAUGGAAGUUAUCCUCGCUGCAAGCAGCAGCAAAGAGGUGACCUCCUCUCUAACCACUGUAAGGGGAGGAGGACACACCUGACUUUUUUUUUUUAUUUCCUCCAUAAAUGAGGAUAGAAGUUAUCCUCGCUGCGAGCAGCAGCAAAGAGGUGACCUCCUCCCCAGCCACUAUAUGGGGAGGAGGACACACCUGACUUUUUAUUUUCUUUUAUUUUUUCCAUAUUAAAUGAGGAUAGAAGUUAUCCUCGCUGCAAGCAGCAGCAAAGAGGUGACCUCCUCUCCAACCACCGUAAGGAGAGGAGGACACACCUGACUUUUAUUUUUUCCAUAUUAAAUGAGGAUAGAAGUUAUCCUCGCUGCAAGCAGCAGCAAAGAGGUGUCCUCCUCCCCGACCACCAUAAGGGGAGCAGGACAGAUCUCGCUUUUCUUUUUUUUUUUCUCCACAGAAAAUGAGGAUAGAAAUUAUCCUCACUGCAAAGCAGCAACAACAAAGGGUGCGGAGGCCCCAACAGAGAUUACUCCGCUCCAUGGAGCCCUCCCUCAACCUUCACCAAGGUGAGCACAGAGAUGAUCCUUUCCCCCCACCCUCCCCGAUAAUGGGAAGUGCACAGAGUUAAUCUGAGCCUUCAUCUCCACACAGGUUGAGGCCGGACACAAUCCAACCCCUCCAUCACGGAGGAGUUGGAACGAUGGAUGUGGAGGCCUCAACUCCUCCACUUACCCUACCCUACCCUAUCCUACCCUACCCUACCCCAGACCCCACCAAAUUUAUCCCCUGUCCCCCUCCCCGCCCAACAUAAGGGGAGCAGGACAGAUCUCGCUUUUCUCUUUUUUCUCCACAGAAAAUGAGGAUAGAAAUUAUCCUCACUGCAAAGCAGCAACAACAAAGGGUGCGGAGGCCCCAACAGAGAUUACUCCGCUCCAUGGAGAUCGCCUCCAUCCCUCAACCAGGUGAGCACAAACAGAGAUGAUCCUUUCCCCCACCCUCCCCAG